ensembl:lncRNA
UGUAGGUACCUACUUUUAUACCAGCAUAAGAAGUUUUUAAGAAUCGUGACCCGUUUUCAUGUGGCGUGAAGUUAUUGGAUUAAACUGGUUAGCAACUAGCGUCACAAAAAGUUUUCAAAAUAUCCAUGAAACCCUCCGAAUUUAAAAGUGGGCCUGCACAUACUUUGCAAGAACAAGGAUUAUGUGAAGGCACAUAGAGAAUGGAUUUUGAUGUUUUCCUUCAGCAGUCCAACAUCCCAUUCGUCCUUUCCAAAUAGAGUGAUGACGCCCAACGUGGGGCUCGAACCCACGACCCUGAGAUUCAGAGUCUCAUGCUCUACCGACUGAGCUAGCCGGGCACUCUGACGUUUCCCAUCGUGGACGGACCCAACCCAUUUCUUCUGAAAUACUGCAAUUCUCUCUGGCACUACAGCAUAGUUUCUCUUGACUGUUCAUUUUCGUUAUUUGCUCUUAUUACAUGAAUACGAAAGCCGAUGCCAACCCAUUUCUUCUGAAAUACUGCAAUUCUCUCUGGCACCACAGCAUAGUUUCUCUUCUCUGUUCAUUUCCGUUAUUUGCUCUUAUUACAUGAAUACGAAAGCCGGAAAUAUGAAAGGAGGGACUUAAAAAGGUCAAUUUUACCCGAAUAAAAAAACGAAAGGUAGCUAAAACUAAUAACUUGGAAUUUACACUGGAAGGAAAUGUUGUGGCGUACCAGAUUCUUGGUGAACUUCAUUAGUUUCGUCUUCCAUAUGUAGGUACCUACUUUUAUGCUAACAUAAGAAGUUUUUAAGAGUCGUGACCCGUUUUCAUGUGGCGUGAAGUUAUUGGAUUAAACUGGUUAGCAACUAGCGUCACAAAAAGUUCUCAAAAUAUCCAUGAAACCCUCUGAAUUUAAAAGUGGGCCUGCACAUACUUUGAAAGAACAAGGAUUAUGUGAAUGCACACAGAGAAUGGAUUUUGAUGUUUUCCUUCAGCAGUCCAACAUCCCAUUCGUCCUUUCCAAAUAGAGUGAUGACGCCCAACGUGGGGCUCGAACCCACGACCCUGAGAUUAAGAGUCUCAUGCUCUACCGACUGAGCUAGCCGGGCACUCUGACGUGUCCCAUCGUGGACGGACCCAACCCAUUUCUUCUGAAAUACUGCAAUUCUCUCUGGCACUACAGCAUAGUUUCUCUUGACUGUUCAUUUCCGUUAUUUGCUCUUAUUACAUGAAUACGAAAGCCGGACCCAACCCAUUUCUUCUGAAAUACUGCAAUUCUCUCUGGCACUACAGCAUAGUUUCUCUUCACUGUUC